UACGGAGGGGGCUAGCGUUGUUCGGAAUUACUGGGCGUAAAGCGCACGUAGGCGGACUGUUAAGUCGGGGGUGAAAUCCUGGGGCUCAACCUCAGAAUUGCCUCCGGUACUGGCAGUCUCGAGUGCGGGAGAGGUGAGUGGAAUUCCCAGUGUAGAGGUGAAAUUCGUAGAUAUUGGGAAGAACACCAGUGGCGAAGGCGGCUCACUGGCCCGUAACUGACGCUGAGGUGCGAAAGCGUGGGGAGCAAACAGG
rnacentral:rRNA from 1 species